UACGUAGGGGGCUAGCGUUGUCCGGAUUUAUUGGGCGUAAAGAGCGUGUAGGCGGCCAGGUAGGUCUGCUGUGAAAACUCGAGGCUCAACCUCGAGACGUCGGCGGAAACCAUCUGGCUAGAGUCCGGAAGAGGAGAGUGGAAUUCCUGGUGUAGCGGUGAAAUGCGCAGAUAUCAGGAAGAACACCCGUGGCGAAGGCGGCUCUCUGGGACGGUACUGACGCUAGACGCGAAAGCGUGGGGAGCGAACAGG
rnacentral:rRNA from 1 species